rnacentral:rRNA from 1 species
UGCUAUCGGUGUCCGAUUAAGCCAUGCGAGUCGAGAGGUGUAAGACCUCGGCAGACUGCUCAGUAACACGUGGAUAACCUGCCCAAGGGUCCGGGAUAACCCCGGGAAACUGGGGAUAAUACCGGAUGGGUCACCAGUGCUGGAAUGCUUGGUGGUCGAAAGGUGACGCCUUUGGAUGGGUCUGCGGCGGAUUAGGUUGACGCCGGUGUAACGUACCGGCGUGCCUGUAAUCCGUACGGGUUGUGGGAGCAAGAGCCCGGAGAUGGAUUCUGAGACACGAAUCCAGGCCCUACGGGGCGCAGCAGGCGCGAAAACUCUACAAUGCAGGCAACUGCGAUAGGGGGACAUCGAGUGGCAUCCACCUUGGGUGUCUGUCCAACCGUCUAAAAAACGGUUGUUAGCAAGGGCCGGGCAAGACCGGUGCCAGCCGCCGCGGUAAUACCGGCGGCUCGAGUGGUGGCCGAUAUUAUUGAGUCUAAAGGGUCCGUAGCCGGCUUUGCAAGUCCCCUGGGAAAUCCGGCGGCUUAACCGUUGGGCUUUCAUGGGAUACUACAUUGCUUGGGACUGGGAGAGGUAGGAGGUACUCGGGGGGUAGGGGUGAAAUCCUGUAAUCCUCCGGGGACCACCGGUGGCGAAGGCGUCCUACCAGAACAGGUCCGACGGUGAGGGACGAAAGCUAGGGGCACGAACCGGAUUAGAUACCCGGGUAGUCCUAGCCGUAAACGAUGCCCGCUAGGUGUCACGACGGUCGUGAAUCGUCGUGGUGCCGUAGGGAAGCCGCGAAGCGGGCCACUUGGGAAA